GGCGGAGAUCGGGCAGCUCACCUCGCUGGGGUGUUUGGAUCUCAGCUACAAUCAGCUGACGAGCGUGCCGGCUGAGAUCGGGCAGCUCAUGUCGCUUCGGCGGAUGGGCCUCAGCCACAAUCGGCUGACGAGCGUGCCGGCGGAGAUCGGGCAGCUCACGUCGGUGAGGGAGUUGUACCUCGGCGGCAAUCAGCUGACGAGCGUGCCGGCGGAGAUCGGGCAGCUCACGUCGGUGAGGGAGUUGUACCUCGGCGGCAAUCAGCUGACGAGCGUGCCGGCUGAGAUUGGACAGCUCGCGUCGCUGAGGGAGUUGCAUUUCCGCGGCAAUCAGCUGACGAGCGUGCCUGCGGAGAUCGGGCAGCUCACAGGUUUAGGGUUUAGGGUUUAGGGUUUAGGGUUUAGGGUUUAGGGUUUAGGGUUUAGGGUUUAGGGUUUAGGG
rnacentral:lncRNA from 1 species